rnacentral:SRP_RNA from 1 species
CGCACUAGUCGGGGAGUUAGCGGUGCCCUGUCACCCGCAAUCCGCUGCAGCGGGGAUGAAUUCCCGGCCGAGGGUGUGCACUGUAUCGUCUGACCCAUGUAAGUGGUGAUGAGGAGCCGGUCUUACGCAACGAGAACCCGUGAACCAUGUCAGGCGGGGAACCGAGCAGCAUUAAGCGGACCUUCUCGUGUGCCGUGAGGUAGCCGUUUCUGAGCCGGCUGUAUGGGUU